UACAGUCGAUCUCGGCACCGUGGGCUCCAAAUUUGCGUGGAAAAGUUGUGGAGACGUUAAAUCACGCGUCAAAACGGGAUGUUUGUGGUGCAGCGCAAUAAAUGUUGAGAUGGUGCAGGAGCACGAUUGCAACAGCCACCCAGUCCCAGUGCUCUUGCUGAGGCAUGGGAAAAAUAAAGGAACUGGAAAAAACACCUGCUAGUGACAUCAGCAUCAUCUACACACCUGCUAGUGACGUCAGCAUCAUCUACACACCUGCUAGUGACGUCAGCAUCAUCUACACACCUGCUAGUGACGUCAGCAUCAUCUACACACCUGCUAGUGACGUCAGCAUCAUCUACACACCUGCUAGUGACAUCAGCAUCAUCUACUCACCUGCUAGUGACACCAUGCUUUUCUUCACCUGCUAGUAACUUGUCUGCUUUGUGAUAAGCAAAUUUAGCUAUCUUCCAUUUUGCAUGGUCCCCAAUAAACUCAACGUGGAAUGCCUCUCCGAUUUCUUUCACAUCAGGGCACUUAACCUCUACCAGGCCACAGAGAGGUUCUUCAUUUGGGUCCACAACUUUGUCAUCUGCACCAAGGUGUGGAGCAUCAGGGUGGAUGAUGAGACCAGAUGGAAGAACGUUAACGUCAAAGGUCUCCUCAUAGCGGUGAAGAACCUCUGGCUCAAGUUUUAAUCCUCUACACAUCGCUCUCUAGAGACCCCGACAGAUGUUUACACACACUGUUUAAUGCAAGAUAUAAAUGCAUUUAACCUGCAAUUACAAAUGCAUAAUGUUUUGAUGUUUUAAUCCCAAAAUGUUGAAUACUGAUAUUUGCAAUGAUAAAAGAAAGUGCUUUAAGAGGUGAAAUUCAAAACACCAAUAUCUAGACAAUCAUAAAUUGUAACAUCACUUCCUUUAAUGUUUUUACUAUACAAUUAAUAUGGAAUUUGUUUAAAUGAUAAAAUUGUAAAAAAAAAAAAAAGGAUUACAUGUUUAUAUUAAAUGCUUAAAGAAAAUAAAUAUGUUGUUAACUUUAAUACAUGGUCAUAUGAAAAAUUUGCUGUACUUAAGUGGUAGAUUUCUGCCAUUUACUGGAAACCAUUUAAAAUUACAAUUUUAAAUAAAAGCACUAUAUGAACAUUCUGGGUGAUUAUAUUACACUAAUAUAUACAAUGAGACAUCCCAAUUUCUGUUUUGGUAAAGUCAUUAAGUGUCAUGUCAUUUAGAUGAAUUAGAAUUUAAUGUUGGGUCCUGAAAUACCCUGAACACUGCACAGAGGUUAAGAUGACCAUUGCUACAUAAA